GCGUCGACAUGGCUCAGAUUGAACGCUGGCGGCAGGCCUAACACAUGCAAGUCGAGCGGUAGAGAGAAGCUUGCUUCUCUUGAGAGCGGCGGACGGGUGAGUAAUGCCUAGGAAUCUGCCUGGUAGUGGGGGAUAACGCUCGGAAACGGACGCUAAUACCGCAUAACAAUGGAUGACACAUGUCAUUUAUUUGAAAGGGGCAAUUGCUCCACU
rnacentral:rRNA from 1 species